rnacentral:tRNA from 2 species
UCUAAUAUGGCAGAUCAGUGCAGAGGAUUUAAGCUCCUCAAAGGAAGAUUAUCUUCUAUUAGAA